CAGCCGCCGCGGGAAUACAGAGGGUGCGAGCGUUAAUCGGAUUUACUGGGCGUAAAGCGUGCGUAGGCGGCUUCUUAAGUCGGACGUGAAAUCCCUGAGCUUAACUUAGGAAUUGCAUUCGAUACUGGGAAGCUAGAGUAUGGGAGAGGAUGGUAGAAUUCCAGGUGUAGCGGUGAAAUGCGUAGAGAUCUGGAGGAAUACCGAUGGCGAAGGCAGCCAUCUGGCCUAAUACUGACGCUGAGGUACGAAAGCAUGGGGAGCAAACAGGAUUAGAUACCCCUGUAGUCCCUGUCUCUUAUAA
rnacentral:rRNA from 1 species